rnacentral:rRNA from 1 species
AUUGAACGCUGGCGGCAGGCCUAACACAUGCAAGUCGAGCGGAUGAAGAGAGCUUGCUCUCUGAUUUAGCGGCGGACGGGUGAGUAAUGCCUAGGAAUCUGCCUGGUAGUGGGGGAUAACGUUCCGAAAGGAACGCUAAUACCGCGUACGUCCUACGGGAGAAAGCAGGGGACCUUCGGGCCUUGCGCUAUCAGAUGAGCCUAGGUCGGAUUAGCUAGUUGGUGAGGUAAUGGCUCACCAAGGCGACGAUCCGUAACUGGUCUGAGAGGAUGAUCAGUCACACUGGAACUGAGACACGGUCCAGACUCCUACGGGAGGCAGCAGUGGGGAAUAUUGGACAAUGGGCGAAAGCCUGAUCCAGCCAUGCCGCGUGUGUGAAGAAGGUCCUCGGAUUGUAAAGCACUUUAAGUUGGGAGGAAGGGCAUUAACCUAAUACGUUAGUGUUUUGACGUUACCAACAGAAUAAGCACCGGCUAACUUCGUGCCAGCCGCCGCCGUAAGAC